rnacentral:rRNA from 1 species
GAUAAACGCUGGCGGCGUGCCUAAUACAUGCAAGUCGAGCGAACGGACGAGAAGCUUGCUUCUCUGAUGUUAGCGGCGGACGGGUGAGUAACACGUGGAUAACCUACCUAUAAGACUGGGAUAACUUCGGGAAACCGGAGCUAAUACCGGAUAAUAUUUUGAACCGCAUGGUUCAAAAGUGAAAGACGGUCUUGCUGUCACUUAUAGAUGGAUCCGCGCUGCAUUAGCUAGUUGGUAAGGUAACGGCUUACCAAGGCAACGAUGCAUAGCCGACCUGAGAGGGUGAUCGGCCACACUGGAACUGAGACACGGUCCAGACUCCUACGGGAGGCAGCAGUAGGGAAUCUUCCGCAAUGGGCGAAAGCCUGACGGAGCAACGCCGCGUGAGUGAUGAAGGUCUUCGGAUCGUAAAACUCUGUUAUUAGGGAAGAACAUAUGUGUAAGUAACUGUGCACAUCUUGACGGUACCUAAUCAGAAAGCCACGGCUAACUACGUGCCAGCAGCCGCGGUAAUACGUAGGUGGCAAGCGUUAUCCGGAAUUAUUGGGGCGUAAAGCGCGCGUAGGCGGUUUUUUAAGUCUGAUGUGAAAGCCCACGGCUCACCCGUGGAGGGUCAUUGGAAACUGGAAAACUUGAGUGCAGAAGAGGAAAGUGGAAUUCCAUGUGUAGCGGUGAAAUGCGCAGAGAUAUGGAGGAACACCAGUGGCGAAGGCGACUUUCUGGUCUGUAACUGACGCUGAUGUGCGAAAGCGUGGGGAUCAAACAGGAUUAGAUACCCUGGUAGUCCACGCCGUAAACGAUGAGUGCUAAGUGUUAGGGGGUUUCCGCCCCUUAGUGCUGCAGCUAACGCAUUAAGCACUCCGCCUGGGGAGUACGACCGCAAGGUUGAAACUCAAAGGAAUUGACGGGGACCCGCACAAGCGGUGGAGCAUGUGGUUUAAUUCGAAGCAACGCGAAGAACCUUACCAAAUCUUGACAUCCUUUGACAACUCUAGAGAUAGAGCCUUCCCCUUCGGGGGACAAAGUGACAGGUGGUGCAUGGUUGUCGUCAGCUCGUGUCGUGAGAUGUUGGGUUAAGUCCCGCAACGAGCGCAACCCUUAAGCUUAGUUGCCAUCAUUAAGUUGGGCACUCUAAGUUGACUGCCGGUGACAAACCGGAGGAAGGUGGGGAUGACGUCAAAUCAUCAUGCCCCUUAUGAUUUGGGCUACACACGUGCUACAAUGGACAAUACAAAGGGCAGCGAAACCGCGAGGUCAAGCAAAUCCCAUAAAGUUGUUCUCAGUUCGGAUUGUAGUCUGCAACUCGACUACAUGAAGCUGGAAUCGCUAGUAAUCGUAGAUCAGCAUGCUACGGUGAAUACGUUCCCGGGUCU